rnacentral:rRNA from 1 species
UUCCUCAUGGAACGAGUAAAAGAAAGUUUGAGUUAUUAAGUGGUCGGGUGACGGCGUGCCUUUUGUAGAAUGAGCCUGCGAGUUAUGGUAUGCAGCGAGGCUAAGGGAUGGGAGUUCCGGAGCCGGAGGGAAACCGAGUCUGAACAGGGCGUUCAGUUGCAUGCCAUAGACCCGAAGCCAAGUGAUCUAGCCAUAGGCAGGCUGAAGCCCGGGUGAAACCGGGUGGAGGGCCGAACCCUAGUCUGUUAAAAAAGGCAGGGAUGACCCGUGGCUCGGAGCGAAAGACUAAACAAACUUGGAAAUAGCUGGCUCUCCCCGAAAUGCCUUGAGGGACAGCCUCGUCAAAACCUUGCGCAGGUAGAGCACUGGAUGGACUAGGGGGCCUCACCGCCUACCAAACCCAAUCAAACUGCGAAUGGCGCAAGACAACUGACGGGAGUGAGACUGCGGGCGACAAGGUCCGUAGUCGAGAGGGAAACAGCCCUGACCGCCGGCUAAGGUCCCGGAUAGCAUGCUGAGUGUGAAAUGAUGUGCCCUGGCGAAGACAGCCAGGAGGUUGGCUUAGAAGCAGCCAUUCCUUGAAAGAGUGCGUAACAGCUCACUGGUCGAGUCACGGCGCGCAGAUAAUGUAACGGGGCUAAGCAUGCAACCGAAGCCGCGGAUUUCGCGAGCAAUCGCGAGAUGGUAGGGGAGCAUUCCGCGAACCGAAGAAGGCGUAUUGUAAGGUAUGCUGGAGGAAGCGGAAGAGAGAAUGCAGGUAUAAGUAGACGAAAAGAGGGGUGGGAUCCCCCUCCGCCGGAAGCCAAGGUUUCCUGGGUAAAGGCAAUCUUCCCAGGGUAAGUCGGCCCCUAAGGCGAGGGCGAAAGCCGUAGUCGAUGGGAAACCGGUUCAUAUUCCGGUACCGUUCCUGAUUUCAAGGGAUGACGCGUGAGGUGAAACCCGGCCGGGCGACGGUUGUCCCGGUCGAAGCCGCAAGCUAAUGGGGGCGGAGGAAACGCCUUCAGGCGAGUGGUGACAGCGAGCCUGACUACGGGAAGGCGAAGCGGGCGUAAUCAAGGCGCCGAGAAACAAUCCCCUCUGGCUAAGGUCAGGAAGACCGUACCGCAAACCGACACAGGUGGGCGGGAUGAGAAAUCUAAGGCGCACGAGAGAACUCGCGUUAAGGAACUCGGCAAAAUGCGCACGUAACUUCGGGAGAAGUGCGGCCGGCUUUGGUUUUAGCAAUAGGGUUAAAGCCGGCGUCACAAAGCAGUCCCAGGCGACUGUUUACCAAAAACACAGGCCUCCGCAAAUCAGCAAUGAGAAGUAUGGGGGCUGACACCUGCCCGGUGCCGGAAGGUUAAGGGGAGCGGUUAGGCGCAAGUCGAAGCUGUGAACCGAAGCCCCGGUAAACGGCGGCCGUAACUAUAACGGUCCUAAGGUAGCGAAAUUCCUUGUCGGGUAAGUUCCGACCCGCACGAAAGGUGUAACGAUCUGGGAGCUGUCUCGACGCGAGACUCGGUGAAAUUUAAGUACCGGUCAAGAUGCCGGUUACCCGUGGUUAGACGGAAAGACCCCGUGAACCUUCACUGCAACUUAUCGUGGGGGCUUGGCUAGGCAUGUGUAGGAUAGGUGGGAGGCUGUGAGGCGUGGGCGUUAGCCUGCGCGGAGCCGACGGUGAAAUACCACCCUUUCCU